UACGUAGGUCCCGAGCGUUGUCCGGAUUUAUUGGGCGUAAAGCGAGCGCAGGCGGUUCUUUAAGUCUGAAGUUAAAGGCAUUGGCUCAACCAAUGUACGCUUUGGAAACUGGAGAACUUGAGUGCAGAAGGGGAGAGUGGAAUUCCAUGUGUAGCGGUGAAAUGCGUAGAUAUAUGGAGGAACACCGGUGGCGAAAGCGGCUCUCUGGUCUGUAACUGACGCUGAGGCUCGAAAGCGUGGGGAGCAAACA
rnacentral:rRNA from 1 species